UUUAUUAUUUUUUCCUUGCGAAUAUAGUAUUUCAGGAAUAUGCAAUAUUUUCGCCCGUAUCUUUUAAUCCGUGCAUCGGAUUGCGACAAGUUAUAUAUAUAACUCGGCUAGAAUUUCACGUAGAUUAAUAUUUUCCAACUCUCAUGCAUAUUCAGAUUUGUUUAGCAUGCUGUUUGCAUCAGUUUGCGUGUCGACAUGUUAGAAACGGUUUAGCUCAUAGUUAUUUAACCGUAGCUCCGUUGGAGAUGAGCCAUAUAUGUAAGUGGACUACAACGGCGAGUAGAAUCACGUGAACCACUUUUUUUUAUCGUUUAACAAACAUAAAAUAUGAUUAGGAG
rnacentral:lncRNA from 1 species